rnacentral:lncRNA from 1 species
AGAUGAAAACCGGGCGGGAUGGCAGCCCCGGGGCCAGGGAUGCGGGAGCCGCCGGGAAGACCCGCGCGCCGCUCGACUCAGAGGGACUCACACCUUCCCCCGACAAAGAGGCGGCCCCACUGUCGACCAAGUGCCCAAGGCAUUGUGGGAGUCAUGAUUCCAAGAUGCCCGCGACGGAAAAUGGAACUUGUCAGCUCCUUGUCAUGGGAGCAUUGUGGGCGCCACAACUCAUUCAGCUGCAGUGAAAAGACUGUUGCAUGUCGCUGUGCAGCCUCUUAUCGCCGAGGUCUGGCUUCCGCUGCUGCUGCGCGGCCCCUCCCCCGCCCGCCCAGCCCCACCAGGAAGCCCAGGGCGGACUCGUCGAGCUCCUAAUGCACGCGGCGGCGAGAAAAACGCUCUUCAACUUUCCGCCGGCGCCCUCCCGCGCUUCCCCGGGCCACAGGGUCGCCUGUCAACCGGACAGAGCCCGCAAGAGCGGGUCAUGGGCGGUCGCCCAGCGGCGCCGAGAGCAGGAGGAAGCCGGAGCCCGCGCGGGCGCCGUGGAUCCCCUCGGCCUCCCGUUGGUAUCUUCCAUCUCAUGCGUUCAGCAUUGUAACCUCGCGGCGGGCGUGCAGACCGGACGCCCUCCCGCUUCUUCUACCGACUGCUAGGCACACCAGUGGGUUCAUUUUGAAAGAGGCCCUUGCACCGGGCUUUGCAAGGAAGCCGGCAAGGUUAGAUUGAAGGUUAGAAGCCAAUUAGACUAGAAUCCUGCGAUCUGGUGAGACUGCCGCCUUAAAAUGCACCAAACAGUUUUUGAACCUGGAGGGCUAACAGGCGGGAAAAACAUCUGCAAGACUGCCACCGUGUAUUUUUCUCAAGUAACAGGCUAUCCACAGUUUUGGAAUUCCUUAGUGAAACUGUCACACAGGCACAAACACAUGUCAGCUUUCCUUCUAGUUUGUAAAUAAUAUUUGUAAUUUACAGGCCACUGUAUUCCCAACUUUGCACCAUGUGAUUUAGAGAAAGCAAAGCUCCCUCUUUAAAAAUAAUAUGUUACUUCUGAAAUACCGGGAUAUUCCACGGCAAGUAAGCCAUAUUGUCGCCAGAGCAAAUAAACCGCAGCCCCAUAUCAUA